CCUACGGGAGGCAGCAGUAGGGAAUAUUGCUCAAUGGGGGAAACCCUGAAGCAGCAACGCCGCGUGGAGGAUGAAGGUUUUCGGAUUGUAAACUCCUUUUGUUAGAGAAGAUAAUGACGGUAUCUAACGAAUAAGCACCGGCUAACUCCGUGCCAGCAGCCGCGGUAAUACGGAGGGUGCACGCGUUACUCGGAAUCACUGGGCGUAAAGGGCGCGUAGGCGGGAUAGCAAGUCAGAUGUGAAAUCCUAUGGCUUAACCAUAGAACUGCAUUUGAAACUGUUAUUCUAGAGUAUGGGAGAGGUAGGUGGAAUUCUUGGUGUAGGGGUAAAAUCCGUAGAGAUCAAGAGGAAUACUCAUGGCGAAGGCGACCUGCUAGAACAUAACUGACGCUGAUGCGCGAAAGCGUGGGGAGCAAACAGGAUUAGAUACCCGAGUAGUC
rnacentral:rRNA from 1 species